rnacentral:rRNA from 1 species
UACGUAGGGUGCGAGCGUUGUCCGGAAUUAUUGGGCGUAAAGGGCUCGUAGGUGGUUUGUCGCGUUGUCCGUGAAAACUCACAGCUCAACUGUGGGCGUGCGGGCGAUACGGGCAGACUGGAGUACUGCAGGGGAGACUGGAAUUCCUGGUGUAGCGGUGGAAUGCGCAGAUAUCAGGAGGAACACCGGUGGCGAAGGCGGGUCUCUGGGCAGUAACUGACGCUGAGAAGCGAAAGCGUGGGGAGCGAACAGG